GCUGAAGGUGGAGGAGAAUUGGGGAAGCUAAAGGUUCCGGUGUUCUUUGCCCCAUGGGCUGUGAUGCAGCCUCGGGUGGGAGGCGGGAAGGACCGAAAUCAAGAUCGCCAUUAUGUAGAGAGACAUGUGAAAGCUGAAGCUCGGAGCCUCGUUAGCUGGAAGCCCUCUUCACCAUUUGUAAGAAGAAAGGACAUUCCAGGAAGCCUAAGUCAACGUCCCUCCUGUCCUUCAGUCUGCAGUAAUAACAAUGGCAGAGCAACAACAACAACAACAAUAAUUAUUAUUAUUUUGAGGCAAGAUCUCAUGAAACCCAGGCUGGUGUCAAACUUGCUUUGUGGCUGAGGGUGACUUUGAACUUGUUUUGCCUGUGUGGAUCACAAGAGAACAGUUGCCACACUGGUUUUAUGCAGUGCUUGGGAUCGAACCCAGGCCUCUUUGAGUGCUAGGAAGUGCUGAGCUCUGCAGCCCCACUAUUUAAUGGAAACAUGCACGCAUCAAAUUUGUAGUGGCUUGGUUUUGAGUGUUUUACAUGUUUUUAAUGAAUUAAAAAUGUAUUUUCUAAAAAACAGGAUCUCACUAUACGUAGUCUUGACUUGGAACUUACAGAGAUCUACUGGCCCCGUCUCUGGAGUGCUGGGGUCACAGUUCUACAUCUCCACAUCUGGCUCAUUGAAUAUUUUAAGUUUAUUUUGUCUUAUGCGAGUUCCCAGAUGUCAAUGUGUCCACAUCAUCUGUCCUCCCCUCCCCCUUUCACUCUCUCUAUUCAUGUAUGCAAUCAGCCUUUGUGUUAAGGCCUACAGAUCCUGGUCCCUUGGAGGCCUCUUCUCACUCACCCCUGGUGCCUCCUCUUCGCUUCAGCACUGAUGGAGGCCUGACCAGGGUGGAGAUAGAGGAGAUGAGAAGACCUCAGGCCACCUGUUCACUCAGUCAGCUGAACGCUCGCGGCUGAGCAUGUCUUAGCUCCAGGGCUUGACUAAGAAAGGAAGGAAGCCAUUUUUCCAGGGAGACCUCUCAACAGGACAUGGCAGCAAGGCUGGAAGAGAGCCUGUCCAUCACCCAUCUGCCAAACUCUCAGGCUGAAGUCAUCCCAGAACAGCCCUGCCAUGGAAGUGAUGUAAUUCAGCUGGGGAAGAUGGUGUGCAAACCCAAGAGUCCCCGUUCAGGGAGGAAGAACUGGCAUCAAAGAGACUAAGAUGGUUACAGGAAAGUCCCACUCUUCUCCCCUGGCAUGGCUGGGUUGGGUCUUGCUCUAAAACUGACACAUAAGGAGUACCUCCCUCCUUCUCCCCACCACAGAUCUUUCUUCUCAUCAUUUGCUUGAAGAAGAUGCCUUUUGGGGUGUCUGUUCAGCCCGUUUGCUGUUCCUGAGCUUUAACUACUCACUCUCCCCGGGCAUCUGCAACAAAAGGACAAGGCUCUUAGUACCUGAGAGGUAGAGGCAGGUGUAUCUGCAUCAACCAGGACUACAUAGUGAGGUCCUGUCUGGAAGAAACAACAGAAGUCCGCAAAGAAUGGACAGAAAGGAUCCUGAAUGACCAGGAGGGCCGGAGAGUCUCCACUAGAUGUGCUAUUAUAUGUCUAGAUGAAUUUACCCUUCAGGCAAAGUUACUUGAUGAACUUCAUGUGUUUGGAGGGAAAUCCUUGUUUGUAAAUUUUGUUAUUGUGGGAUUUGAUUCAUUCAUUAAUUGUUUGUGUGGUGUACACACUUACAGUAUGGCAUAUAUGUGUGGAUAUGUGUGUCCAUUCAUUAGUACCUGGGGUAGGGGAAAGAUGCUGGGUGCCCUGUUCUAUCACCUUCUGUCUUAUCUAUUGAGCUACAGUCUCUGUCUGAGCCUUGAGCUUGUCCCCACCCCCCCACCCCCACCACCCCUUUAACCUAUGCUAACUGGCCAGCAAACCUCAGUAAACUUCUAGUUUCUGUCCCUGUUAUCCUAGUACCGGGGUUAUAGAUGUGUUUGUCCACACCUAGUGUUUACAUGGGUGCUGAGGAUCUGAACUCAGGUGUUCAUGUGUGCACACUCACCAGCCCCACUGUGGGUUUUUCCAGUAUCCUGUGGAUGCAUCUGUAUCCCAUGAUGCAGAAUUUGGGAUAUGGACACCUGCAGGUUUUGUUCAAGGAACAGUGGGAUUGUAUUAGUUCCUCUUCUGCCACUGUGAUAAAGUAUCACCACAAAAAGCAACUUAAUGAGUAAAGUGUGUAUUUGGCUUAUGAUUCCAGAGAGAUAAGAUCCAUGAUUGUGGGGAAGGCAUGGAGCAGCAGCAGGAAGCAGAGAGAUCACUGUUUAUCCUUAUACAGGAAGCAACAGAAAAAGAACAGGAAGUAGAUAUAAACCUUCAAAGCCCGACCAUAACGCCCCCCUCCUUCGACCCACCCAUGAAGGACUUCAGGGAUUCACCCCUUAAAAGCUCCACAAGCUCUCCAAACAGUGCCACCAACUGGGAUCCAUGAGCCUCUGGAGACAUUUUUCUUUCAAACUACAACUGGAUUUUUUUUUUUAAUUUUAUCCAAAUAGCUGUGGUUAUGUAAGUCUACAUACUGUCUGAUAUAGCUUUUAUUUAAAAGAUAUUGCGAUGGUGUGUCAGAGAAAACUGAGAGUUAAUUUUAACAACACUUGAAUGGACCACAACUGUACACUGUGGGGACUGGGUUAAUGAUCUUUUGAACAGGAGCAGGGUAACAAAAGGAUAGAAAUCACAAGGAGGUAGGACAGAGACAAGAAGUCAGACACAAU